UACGGAGGAUCCAAGCGUUGUCCGGAUUUAUUGGGUUUAAAGGGUGCGUAGGCGGAUAAUUAAGUCAGUGGUGAAAUCUUGCGGCUCAACCGUAAAAUUGCCAUUGAAACUGAUUAUCUUGAGUACAGUUGAGGUGGGCGGAAUGUAUCAUGUAGCGGUGAAAUGCUUAGAUAUGAUACAGAACACUAUUGCGAAAGCAGCUCACUAAACUGCAACUGACGCUGAGGCACGAAAGCGUGGGGAUCAAACAGG
rnacentral:rRNA from 1 species